rnacentral:rRNA from 1 species
GACGAACGCUGGCGGCGUGCCUAAUACAUGCAAGUAGAACGCACAGUUUAUACCGUAGCUUGCUACACCAUAGACUGUGAGUUGCGAACGGGUGAGUAACGCGUAGGUAACCUGCCUGGUAGCGGGGGAUAACUAUUGGAAACGAUAGCUAAUACCGCAUAAUAUUGAUUAUUGCAUGAUAAUUGAUUGAAAGAUGCUAUUGAAUCACUACCAGAUGGACCUGCGUUGUAUUAGCUAGUAGGUGGGGUAACGGCUCACCUAGGCGACGAUACAUAGCCGACCUGAGAGGGUGAUCGGCCACACUGGGACUGAGACACGGCCCAGACGCCUACGGGAGGCAGCAGUAGGGAAUCUUCGGCAAUGGACGAAAGUCUGACCGAGCAACGCCGCGGGAGUGAAGAAGGUUUUCGGGUCGUAAAGCUCGGUUGUAAGAGAAGAACGGGUGUGAGAGUGGAAAGUUCACACUGUGACGGUAUCUUACCAGAAAGGGACGGCUAACUACGUG